rnacentral:rRNA from 1 species
GUAGGUGGCAAGCGUUGUCCGGAAUUAUUGGGCGUAAAGCGCGCGCAGGGCGGUCCUUUAAGUCUGAUGUGAAAGCCCACGGCUCAACCGUGAGGGUCAUUGGAAACUGGGGGACUUGAGUACAGAAGAGGAAAGCGGAAUUCCAAGUGUAGCGGUGAAAUGCGUAGAGAUUUGGAGGAACACCAGUGGCGAAGGCGGCUUUCUGGUCUGUAACUGACGCUGAGGCGCGAAAGCGUGGGGAGCAAACAGGAUUAGAUACCCUGGUAGUCCACGCCGUAAACGAUGAGUGCUAAGUGUUAGGGGGUUUCCGCCCCUUAGUGCAGCAGCUAACGCAUUAAGCACUCCGCCUGGGGAGUACGGCCGCAAAGGCUG